rnacentral:rRNA from 1 species
UACGGAGGGUGCAAGCGUUAUCCGGAUUCACUGGGUUUAAAGGGCUCGUAGGCGGCUUUAUAAGUCAGUGGUGAAAGCCCCGAGCUCAACUUGGGAAUUGCCAUUGAUACUGUAGAUCUUGAGUGCGGUUGAGGUAGGCGGAAUAUAUCAUGUAGCGGUGAAAUGCAUAGAUAUGACUUAGAACACCGAUUGCGAAGGCAGCUAACUAAACAGAUAUUGACGCUGAGGCACGAAAGCGUGGGGAUCAAACAGG